ensembl:snRNA U6 U6 spliceosomal RNA
GUGCCUGCUUUGACAGCACAUAUACUAAAAUUGGAAUGAUACAGAGAAGAUUAGCAAAACAAAAAAAUAUUACCAUAUUAUAAAUUAAAACUGUUUUU